rnacentral:rRNA from 1 species
UCGAGCGAGAAAGGGUAGCAAUACCUGAGUAAAGCGGCGCACGGGUGAGUAACACGUGGAUAACCUGCCUCAAAGUGGGGAAUAACACCGGGAAACCGGUGCUAAUACCGCAUAUUCUGAUGGAGUCUGUGGACUUUGUCAGUAAAGGAGCAAUUCGCUAUGAGAGGGGUCCGCGGCUGAUUAGCUAGUUGGUGAGGUAAUGGCUCACCAAGGCAACGAUCAGUAGCCGGUCUGAGAGGACGGUCGGCCACACUGGAACUGAGACACGGUCCAGACUCCUACGGGAGGCAGCAGUGGGGAAUUUUUCGCAAUGGGGGCAACCCUGACGAAGCAAUGCCGCGUGGAUGAUGAAGUAUUUCGGUACGUAAAAUCCUUUCGACGGGGACGAAACCGCAAGGUUGACGGUACCCGUAGAAGAAGCCCCGGCUAACUCCGUGCCAGCAGCCGCGGUAAUACGGGGGGGGCAAGCGUUGUUCGGAAUUACUGGGCGUAAAGGGUGCGUAGGCGGCUUUCUAAGUUGGAUGUGAAAACUCUGGGCUCAACCCAGAGACUGCAUCCAAAACUGGAGAGCUUGGGUUCUGGAGGGGAAAGCGGAAUUCCUGGUGUAGCGGUGAAAUGCGUAGAUAUCAGGAGGAACACCGGUGGCGAAGGCGGCUUUCUGGACAGAUACCGACGCUGAGGCACGAAAGCUAGGGGAGCAAACAGGAUUAGAUACCCUGGUAGUCCUAGCCCUAAACGAUGGAUACUUGCUGUGAGGGGGAUUGAAACCCCUUG